CCUACGGGAGGCAGCAGUGGGGAAUAUUGGACAAUGGGCGAAAGCCUGAUCCAGCAACGCCGCGUGAGGGAUGACGGCCUUCGGGUUGUAAACCUCUUUCAGCAGGGAAGAAGCGCAAGUGACGGUACCUGCAGAAGAAGCACCGGCUAACUACGUGCCAGCAGCCGCGGUAAU
rnacentral:rRNA from 1 species